GGUGACGGGAGAAGGUGGGAGGAGUCCCCAGUCCUGUGUGGGUGGCUAAGGGGCGGUGACGGGAGAAGGUGGGAGGAGUCCCCAGUCCUGUGUGGGUGGCUAAGGGGCGGUGACGGGAGAAGGUGGGAGGAGUACCCAGUCCUGUGUGGGUGGCUAAGGGCGGUGACGGGAGAAGGUGGGAGGAGUCCCAAGUCCUGUGUGGGUGGCUAAGGGGCGGUGACGGGAGAAGGUGGGAGGAGUCCCCAGUCCUGUGUGGGUGGCUAAGAGGAGUCCCCAGUCCUGUGUGGGUGGCUAAGGGGCGGUGACGGGAGAAGGUGGGAGGAGUCCCCAGUCCUGUGUGGGUGGCUAGGGGGCGGUGUCGGGAGAAGGUGGGAGGAGUCCCAAGUCCUGUGUGGGUGGCUAAGGGGCGGUGACGGGAGAAGGUGGGAGGAGUCCCCAGUCCUGUGUGGGUGGCUAAGGGGCGGUGACGGGAGAAGGUGAGAGGAGUCCCCAGUCCUGUGUGGGUGGCUAAGGGGCAGUGAUGGGAGAAGGUGGGAGGAGUCCCCAGUCCUGUGUGGGUGGCUAAGAGGAGUCCCCAGUCCUGUGUGGGUGGCUAAGGGGCGGUGACGGGAGAAGGUGGGAGGAGUCCCCAGUCCUGUGUGGGUGGCUAAGGGGCGGUGACGGGAGAAGGUGGGAGGAGUCCCCAGUCCUGUGUGGGUGGCUAAGGGGCGGUGACGGGAGAAGGUGGGAGGAGUCCCCAGUCCUGUCACACAUCAAACCAUCACUCUUUUCAUUAAUGUCUUCUCUUCUCUUUCCUGUUCUUCUCUGUUCUGUCUCUCAGCUUGUGGCCACCAUGUUUGCUUCUUUCUGGCGCAGUCUCUCU
ensembl:lncRNA